GGAAGUAAAAGUCCGUAACAAGGUUUCCGUAGGUGAACCUGCGGAAGGAUCAUUACAGUAGUCACCCAGGUUGCCGCAAGGCCUCCUGGGUAACCUACCACCCUUUGUUUAUUACACUUUGUUGCUUUGGCAAGCCUGCCCUCGGGCUGCUGGCUCCGGCCGGCGAGCGCUUGCCAGAGGACCUAAACUCUGUUUGUCUAUACUGUCUGAGUACUAUAUAAUAGUUAAAACUUUCAACAACGGAUCUCUUGGUUCUG
rnacentral:misc_RNA from 1 species